rnacentral:rRNA from 1 species
UACGUAGGGUGCAAGCGUUGUCCGGAAUUAUUGGGCGUAAAGAGCUCGUAGGCGGUUUGUUGCGUCGGCUGUGAAAUCCCGAGGCUCAACCUCGGGUCUGCAGUCGAUACGAGCAAACUAGAGUGUUGCAGGGGAGACUGGAAUUCCUGGUGUAGCGGUGAAAUGCGCAGAUAUCAGGAAGAACAUCGGUGGCGAAGGCAGCCCCCCGGGCCAAGAUUGACGCUCAUGCACGAAAGCGUGGGGAGCAAACAGG